rnacentral:rRNA from 1 species
GAUGAACGCUGGCGGUGUGCCUAAUACAUGCAAGUCGAGCGAACAGACGAGGAGCUUGCUCCUCUGACGUUAGCGGCGGACGGGUGAGUAACACGUGGAUAACCUACCUAUAAGACUGGGAUAACUUCGGGAAACCGGAGCUAAUACCGGAUAAUAUAUUGAACCGCAUGGUUCAAUAGUGAAAGACGGUUUUGCUGUCACUUAUAGAUGGAUCCGCGCCGCAUUAGCUAGUUGGUAAGGUAACGGCUUACCAAGGCAACGAUGCGUAGCCGACCUGAGAGGGGGGGCGGGCACCAGGGGAACUGAGACCGGGCCCAGCGUCAGGGGGGGGGAAGAGGGGGGGAAUCUUCGGGAGGGGCGAAAGGCCGGACGACGCACCCCGGGGGGAGGAAAGAGGGUCUUGGGUCCAAAAAACUUUUUUAUGGGGAAAAAAAAAAUGUGAAAGUACAAUUCCCGGUAUGGAGGGAACCUAAUAAGAAACCCACGGCAAACGCCGCC